UUCGUAGGUGGCCUACUAAGUCAUACGUGAAAUCCCUCAGCUUAACUGGGGAACUGCGUCUGAUACUGGAAGGCUUGAGUGCAGGAGAGGAACGCGGAAUUCCAGGUGUAGCGGUGAAAUGCGUAGAUAUCUGGAGGAACACCCGUGGCGAAAGCGGCGCGCUGGACCACUACUGACGCUGAGGAACGAAAGCUAGGGAGCAAACA
rnacentral:rRNA from 1 species